CUCAAUUCUUUUAUGCAUGGAAUUUUAACCAAAGACAUGGAAUAAACUUACAGAUAAAACAUAAAGGCAUAUUAUGUUAUUUCAGAGAAUCAUCAGUGCAUAAUUCAGAUUUCAGUGAAUUCAAGCUCUCUCAGGACUCUCUUUUGAUAUAUGACUACAACAGGCUAUCAAACAGCUCCUCUGCCAUGAAAUUACUAACAUAAACAGAUCGAGAUGGGGAGAGUUGUGAAGGAGAAGUGAUCUGUUGCAGAAAGCACAAGAUAUUUCUAAAAACAAAGUCUGAUAGAAGGACAACUGGAAUAGCAUAAAAAAACUGUCCCUAGAACUGCAAUACUUCACUGGACACAAGGGCUCAGAGCCAGAUAUAACCAUGAAAACAAUUCAAAGAAAUCUUUGGAGCAUAGUUUCUACAAUCUAUAAAAUGGAGGUUCAGAACACUUACUUGGAUAUUAGGGGGAAAGGUGAUUAUGUUAGCUGCCAUCUGGGUAACAAUCGCAUACUUUAUGGCUCCCUAACACCCAGGUGUAAUUUAUCUUAAGUGCCUUAUCCAUUCUGUCCAAGCUUAACCACAUCUGCAGAAACCAGUCUUUGUUGCAACCAGGGUAUCAGAUGAGAUAGCCUCUGCGUGCUUGGUCUUUCUCACUAUGUUGCACCAUGGUAACCUGCUAUUUCUGAUAAGGCACUGUCUCAUUAUGUAUCAAUCACAUCUUCCCACUACUUGAUGCCUACAUCUAUAUUUUCAGGAACUGAGGAGACAAAAUAAAUUUAAUAAGGAGAAAGUUCUGCUACAAAAUCUGCUAUGAAGUAGAACCUCUUUUUGUUGAUGGGCUUAGCCAUCUUACACAAAUGGAGUGCUUGUUCUGAGAAAAUAUGCAGUAUGUAAACCUACCAGGAAUGUUGUCAAUUUGUUCUUCCCUGAUAGAUCAAGGACAGAAUGUUGGCAAUUCAUUCUGGGGAGUCACAAAAAUUAGAGAUGGGGAAGAUUACUUGAUACGGGAACCUUAUCAGGAAAUGCACGUCGUUAAACCAGAAGCGGAGGAAAUGACUGUUAUACUUGCAAAUGAGGGGCCUUACCAUAUGAUUCACUGGGUCACUGGAAAAUCUCCCUGGGAGAUUUUCAGCAAGGCAUAUCUGUGCCUAUGCCUCCCUCUGGAAAUAUUUAUGAGGUAGAAAAGUUGAAAUCAACUUUGACGUUAUUAUCAAUCUUGACUGUCUUCCAAGACCAAAGUUGAUUUAUUUUUCUAGGAAAAUACAUGAGAAAGUAAUUGAUAGUUGCUAUUAGGUUACCUACUCCAGCUUCUGGGGACAGCUCAUUGCAAUAUGCUUAUUUGUUUUCCAUCUUAUGUUAUUAGAAUAAUGCUUCCACACUCUUCUAAGGAGAAUUCAUGUAAAUGUAUACAGGAAAGCUUCUCUAAUAGUCUUUCUUUUACUAAUUGUGAUAAAAAUAAUUUUUUUCUUAUUCUUUGUUCAACUCUGUCAUAUCCAUCUACAUCUAUAGAUUUUCCUUCUCUCAGAUAUUAAAUCUCCUGUGAAGAGAAAACAAGAAAAAAUAUAUACCAAAUUAAUUAUUCUGUUAUCAAGAUGCCCAUCACCAGCUCUAGAGGAUGUAUUCUGCUUAAAAUGGAGAAUACCACUCCUCUUCUCGUUCAUUAAUUACCUUCUUUGAUGUAAAAUGAAAAUGGGAUUUUUUUUUUCCUUUCCAAAAGUUAUGAUUUUCUCUAUUCGGUGAAAACAUUCUAGAAGCCAGACUGUCAAACUUCUUAAUAUUUUUAAUAAUUACAGUCUAAAUCACUGCCCAUCUAUAUCUGGACCACACCCUACUCCUAGAUACCAGGAAGCACCAGGAGGAAUGGAAAAUAGGCACUAUUUUUAUUAAGGAGCACUGACUGCCAAAGGCUUGACAAACUUUGAUAGUUUGGGAUUGAGGGGCCAGGGGCUUAAAGGAAAGAGCCAUUUGUUCGUUCACAAAGCUUUCAUCAAGGGCGUACUACACUCUGUCCACUAGAGUAGUCACCAGCCACAUGUGUCAGGUAUUGCAGGGAAUGCCAGAGAUAGAGACAUGAACAAGAUACAAGAAACCAUGGAAACACACGGCCUGUAAUGCUGUUAAUAGUUGCCAUUGCAAUACAGUCAGAGCACAAAAGGGGGAGGUCUUGAUUCUGGCUUGGGGUUUGGGAUCAGAAAAGCUUACCUAGAACUUUCCUAGACUGGGAUUGGAGAUAAGUAUUUUUUUUUUUUUGGUCUUCCUUUCUUUUUAAGAUAAGUAAUUUUUUGCCAGGGAUACAGGAAGAAAGAAAGGAAAAGUGGAAGAGGAAAAGAGAAGCCCUUCUCCCUUAGGGGCCAUACCAUGCAAAUGGGUAACUAAUAUUCAAUGAACAAUUAUAUAAAACAUACAAACGUUCUUCCAAAUCACUAUUAUCUGUCUUCAGAAUUUAAGCUUGAAGCCUUAGUUCAAUAAGGGUGUUUUUUUCCCUAAAGACCAUGAACAAAAAAAAAAAGAUACUCAAUGACUAUUUCUUAGUAAUGAAAAAAAAGAGCAAAGAACUGUAAUCUGAUUCACGAAUUGCAAGGCUCUGGUCUCCUUCCUCACUGCAGAUUAGAUAAUGGGGAAAACACAGGGGUACUUUCUAUCCUAGGUGAAAUAACAAAGUCACAUUUGCCCAUUUUCCAAGCUGAAGCUCCUCUAACUCCAAUGCACUGCGUUGUUCUUUACUUCUUAAAUUUAACAGGAAUGAAGAACAUGCCUGUUCUUUUCCUAAGGGAAACUGUGACUCUCAACUUGAUUCUAACUCCAUCUGCUUUUCAGUGGAGAAAAAGGAAAGCCCCCACUAAAUAGGAGCUAUUGCUGCUAUGAGAAUAAUCUUCCACUCCGCAAAGCAAGCAUGCAAAGGAAAAAAAUCCCUUUGUCCUAUUUCUGUUCUCCACAUUUCCUUGCUUUCCAAGGAGAGUUCUCUAUUUGAAGGGUUCUUUGGGCUUUUGUGAUGCUACAGUAAAGAGAGGGAGUCACAGAGGUAGUAAGUAGGAAAAGUAGAAGAAUUAGUCAAAGUUUCUUAGUUGAUUUAUAGGAUAAAAUGGUGAGGGAAGGCUAGGAAAAUCAGGAGAGAAAAGCCAUAUGGGAUGGAAGUAGAUAAGAAAGUAUUUGAGAAGUUAAGAGUGUGAAGGGAGGAGGUGUCGGAGGAGCUGCAGAAUACAAUGCAAGUAGCUAGAUGAUAAAUUUUAACAAGUGUGCUGUAACCCGUGUUUAGAUACCCUGAGUGACUUUCAUGAAAUACUAGUAAAAAGUUUGAAAUUUUAAAAAUUUACUUUGAUUUUCAUGACUAUAUUUCUUUUAUCAUAGCUGUGCUCCAAGAUCGGAUUUUAUGGCUCUAGUCUAACAAGGAUUAUGCUUCUUUGACAUGUAAACUUACUGGUCAGCAAAUAAUAUUAAUCCCACUCUGUCCACUACCGUAGCCACAAGUCACAUGCGGCUAUCAAGUACUUGGGGCGUGGCUAGUCUGAAUUGAGAUGCACUGUAACUCUAGAAUACAUACAGGAUUUUGAAGACCUAGUUUUUAAAAUAAAAAAGGGAGACAGAAAGAAGGAAGGAAAAGAGGGAGGAAAAAGAAAGGAGGAAAUAAAUCAUAUUAAUAAUUCGUAUACGAAUUACAUGUCAAAAUGGUAAUAUGUUAGCUGUAUUAAGUAAAACAUAUUAUUGAUAUUAAUUUACUUAAUUCUUUUUGCUUUUUUAACAUGACUACUAGAAGAUUUUCAAUUAUACACGGGCUCACAUUUGUGGCUUGCAUUUACAUUUUUACUGGAUAGCAGUGUACUAAUUUAUGACAGAAACCAACCGCAAACACUGACUGAGCAUCCUGUGUGAGCAGGACACUGUGUGAGAUUUUUCUGUGAGUUAUGAAACAGUUAAGUUCACGACCUAAGGAGUCCAGAUUUCUGGGAUUACUCCUGGCACCGUCAUCUAUGAGCAAUUCAUGUGACUUGGAUAAAGCGUUCAGCCUCUUUACUUGUUUGUUUGUUUGGGCCACGCCACACAGCUUGUGGGAUCUUAGUUCCCAAACCAGGGAUCGAACCCGGACCCUUGGCAGUGAGAGAGCUGAGUCCUAAACACUGGACUGCCAGGGAAUUCCUAACAUUCAGCAUCUUUAAACCUCUGUUUCCUAAUCUGAAAAAUGGAAUUGAUAACAGUACCUUCCUGGCAAGGUGGUUGAUACGGGUAAAACACUUACAAGAGCCUUGUAACAUGCCUGGCACAUAAUAAGAAAUCAAUCAAUAUUAGCUUUUAUUACUGUUACUCUUAGGGAGGGAAGGGUACUGAAAUGUUUUGAGCGCUCUUGAGGUUUUAUUUUAUUUAUGCCUUUCUGAGAGCUCCAUGAGGGCAGGGACGGUUUCUAUGUUGUUCUCUCCUUUUUUUGCAACAAAUAGCACAAUAUGUAGCAGGAACAUAUUUACUAAAUACUGAGUGAAUGAGUCAGGGAUAAGAAUGAACUAACAGACAAUAUAAUUACUUUCCUUUUAGAGAAGAGGAAAUUGAAAUUUAUGGAAAUACAGAGGUUAAAAAGGUUGGAGAAGUCACAAAAUUCAUAGAUGAUAGAGCCAACAUUUAAAUCCACAUUUACAUGAACAUUCACAGACUGUGAACUCAAAGAGCAUUCCAUCUAGUUAGAGAAAUAAAAUGUGUUUCAAAUAAAAACAAAUGAUAUUAAUACGACUAGCCCACAAAUGAUGCCAUUUCAAUAACCUGAUUGAUGAUUACUAUACAAGUUGAGUCUGGAAAGACUUCAUAUCCAGCAGGGCUGUUGCAGAAAACGUUUGGAAGGGAUGAGAUUAGACCUCUGCAGAUUUAUUAAGUUUGAUUUAGUGGAUGCUUGCUCUGGGAAAAAGGAUCCCUUGGCAAAGGAAACAGACUGAGCACAAGUGAAGUUGAAAUCCUAAGGCAGACUCUGGAGCUGUGAAAUGGAUGUCUUGCCUGGAGAAGAUAAUUCAUGUAAAUUUAUUAAUAGGAUUGAAGCAGAAAUAAGCUUGGGGUUAGAUCUUAGACUUUGAAUAAAGGCCAGAGUUAGGAGUUAAAAAGGUAUCAAGUAAAUAACAGGAUAUUACUUCUUUUCCUUUUUAGUUCUGUCAAGACAUGAUAGUAACAGCGUGCAAGAUGCAACAGAGAGAGAGGGAUAUUGGAGGUGGGGCAAUACCUAAGGAUGCUAUUGCAACAUCCAGCCAUGAGAUAGUAAAGAUAAGAAUCAGAGAUUUGAAAAUAGGAAUGGAAAGAAAGGGAGCAAUUUCAGAGUUGCUGAAGACAGUGUUCUAGCUUCAAAGGCCUAAUCUGGAUGAGGCCAAAGUCUGGGUCACAUAUUUUUAGUUUUAGUAAAGUAAAAUAUGUGACCCAAAUAAAGGGCAAUUGAAGUCUCAAAAUUUAGGCUAUAAAUGGGAUUUCAAUUUCUUUUAUUUUCCUUUUCUUUUCAUAUUCAUUCUUGAUUUCUCUUAUUUUAUACAUAGCCAACAUUUGGCUUGUUCCAAGAUCUAGCCAUUCUACUGAGAAAUGCUUAAAAAAUUGAAUCUCUCCUCUUAUUCCUAUGCUUUAGUACAAGCAUUUGUGUUAUUUUAUAUUCUUUUUUUUUUUUUCCUGUUGGAGUUAUUUUAAAGAGCUCCUGUGUUGGAUAAAAGUAUUUGUUUAUAUAUAUUUUUUCUGUCCCCAGUCCUGUCUUGGCUUCCUGUGGGUAGAAUGUAACACCUUUUAUCCUCCAGCCCAGAAGUUUCUACUCUUAAAUCUAACAUCUAAUCUGUGUUCAGAAAUGACUAGCUCCUAGUAAUGACUAACUCACAAUUUAUUGAGGAAUUUUAAUCAAAAGAAUUCACCUUUUACAGGGCAGAAAUAAAGAUGCAGAUGUAGAGAAUGGACUUGAGGACACGGGGAGGGGAAUGGUAAGCUGGGACAAAGUGAGACAGUGGCAUGGACU